AGACCCGAAACCCGGUGAUCUAGCCAUGGGCAGGUUGAAGGUUGGGUAACACUAACUGGAGGACCGAACCGACUAAUGUUGAAAAAUUAGCGGAUGACCUGUGGCUGGGGGUGAAAGGCCAAUCAAACCGGGAGAUAGCUGGUUCUCCCCGAAAGCUAUUUAGGUAGCGCCUCGUGAAUUCAUCUCCGGGGGUAGAGCACUGUUUCGGCUAGGGGGCCAUCCCGGCUUACCAACCCGAUGCAAACUGCGAAUACCGGAGAAUGUUAUCACGGGAGACACACGGCGGGUGCUAACGUCCGUCGUGAAGAGGGAAACAACCCAGACCGCCAGCUAAGGUCCCAAAGUCAUGGUUAAGUGGGAAACGAUGUGGGAAGGCCCAGACAGCCAGGAUGUUGGCUUAGAAGCAGCCAUCAUUUAAAGAAAGCGUAAUAGCUCACUGGUCGAGUCGGCCUGCGCGGAAGAUGUAACGGGGCUAAACCAUGCACCGAAGCUGCGGCAGCGAACGUAUCACCCAAGACAACUUUGCGGAGUUGACGAUUGACGGAGCGAAGCGACGUCAAAGCGUUCAUUAAAGUCGAGUUGGCUUAGGGAUACGUUCGUUGGGUAGGGGAGCGUUCUGUAAGCCUGUGAAGGUGUGUCGUGAGGCAUGCUGGAGGUAUCAGAAGUGCGAAUGCUGACAUAAGUAACGAUAAAGCGGGUGAAAAGCCCGCUCGCCGGAAGACCAAGGGUUCCUGUCCAACGUUAAUCGGGGCAGGGUGAGUCGACCCCUAAGGCGAGGCCGAAAGGCGUAGUCGAUGGGAAACGGGUUAAUAUUCCCGUACUUGGUGUUACUGCGAAGGGGGGACGGAGAAGGCUAUGUUGGCCGGGCGACGGUUGUCCCGGUUUAAGCGUGUAGGUGUGUGUUCCAGGUAAAUCCGGUUCACUUUAACACUGAGGCGUGACGACGAGGCACUACGGUGCUGAAGCAACAAAUGCCCUGCUUCCAGGAAAAGCCUCUAAGCAUCAGGUAACAUCAAAUCGUACCCCAAACCGACACAGGUAGUCAGGUAGAGAAUACCAAGGCGCUUGAGAGAACUCGGGUGAAGGAACUAGGCAAAAUGGUGCCGUAACUUCGGGAGAAGGCACGCUGACACGUAGGUGAAGUGAUUUACUCAUGGAGCUGAAGUCAGUCGAAGAUACCAGCUGGCUGCAACUGUUUAUUAAAAACACAGCACUGUGCAAACACGAAAGUGGACGUAUACGGUGUGACGCCUGCCCGGUGCCGGAAGGUUAAUUGAUGGGGUCAGCGCAAGCGAAGCUCCUGAUCGAAGCCCCGGUAAACGGCGGCCGUAACUAUAACGGUCCUAAGGUAGCGAAAUUCCUUGUCGGGUAAGUUCCGACCUGCACGAAUGGCGUAAUGAUGGCCAGGCUGUCUCCACCCGAGACUCAGUGAAAUUGAACUCGCUGUGAAGAUGCAGUGUACCCGCGGCAAGACGGAAAGACCCCGUGAACCUUUACUAUAGCUUGACACUGAACAUUGAGCCUUGAUGUGUAGGAUAGGUGGGAGGCUUUGAAGCGUGGACGCCAGUCUGCGUGGAGCCGACCUUGAAAUACCACCCUUUAAUGUUUGAUGUUCUAACGUGGACCCGUGAUCCGGGUUGCGGACAGUGUCUGGUGGGUAGUUUGACUGGGGCGGUCUCCUCCUAAAGAGUAACGGAGGAGCACGAAGGUUGGCUAAUCCUGGUCGGACAUCAGGAGGUUAGUGCAAUGGCAUAAGCCAGCUUGACUGCGAGCGUGACGGCGCGAGCAGGUGCGAAAGCAGGUCAUAGUGAUCCGGUGGUUCUGAAUGGAAGGGCCAUCGCUCAACGGAUAAAAGGUACUCCGGGGAUAACAGGCUGAUACCGCCCAAGAGUUCAUAUCGACGGCGGUGUUUGGCACCUCGAUGUCGGCUCAUCACAUCCUGGGGCUGAAGUAGGUCCCAAGGGUAUGGCUGUUCGCCAUUUAAAGUGGUACGCGAGCUGGGUUUAGAACGUCGUGAGACAGUUCGGUCCCUAUCUGCCGUGGGCGCUGGAGAACUGAGGGGGGCUGCUCCUAGUACGAGAGGACCGGAGUGGACGCAUCACUGGUGUUCGGGUUGUCAUGCCAAUGGCACUGCCCGGUAGCUAAAUGCGGAAGAGAUAAGUGCUGAAAGCAUCUAAGCACGAAACUUGCCCCGA
rnacentral:rRNA from 1 species